GAAGCAAAAUCAAACCUGAUCUGCUCUAUCAACAAAACCCAAAUAACAAAUCAAACUAAAAAUUGAAAUGCAACAACUCCAAAUCCAAAAAUACAUAAUCGAGCUGAAUUUUUAACCAUAAACAUAAUACACAAGUAAACCAAUCCAUGCAAAUACAGAAAGGAAGGAAUAACCUGUCGAAGAAAGAGAAAGGAAAAACACUAAAAAUCAAGGAGACGUAGCUAAGACGUUAUCGCGUAAGAACCAGAAGAAAAAGAAGAAACAGAACAGAAAAGAGAAAACCCUAACGUUUAUAUGUCAUGUUAUGGAAUGAAAUAGAGAAAGAAGGCAUAGAACAAAAAUAUCUGUUCUCUCUCUAAAAUAUAUAAGUUUCUCUCUCUUAAAUAAAUAAAUAAAUACUAAUUACUAUUAUUUAUCUCUCGC
rnacentral:misc_RNA from 1 species